GUAGGUGGCGAGCGUUAUCCGGAUUUACUGGGCGUAAAGCGCGUGCAGGCGGUUCCGUAAGUCGGACGUGAAAGCUCCUGGCUUAACUGGGAGAGGCCGUUCGAUACUGCGGGACUUGAGGUCGGGAGAGGGACGUGGAAUUUCCGGUGUAGUGGUGGAAUGCGUAGAUAUCGGAAGGAACACCAGUGGCGAAGGCGGCGUCCUGGCCCGCACCUGACGCUAAGACGCGAAAGCGUGGGUAGCGAACGGGAUUAGAUACCCCGGUAGUCCACGCCGUAAACGGUGGAUACUAGGUGUUGGUGGCUAUCGUCAUCAGUGCCGUAGCUAACGCGUUAAGUAUCCCGCCUGGGGACUACGGCCGCAAGGCUA
rnacentral:rRNA from 1 species